GUUAAUCGAAGCAAUCAUUCUAUCUUGGUUUCACAUUGUAACAGCUGCACAACUAAAAGACUUGGUUCACUCCAUGGAAAGAUGUUAUAAGGCCAUAAUUCCUGCUAAAGGUUACCCAAUUAAGUAUUAACUGACACGGUGAUAAUAAUUUAUCUCGUUUUUUUCUACAUGUCUUCACUUUUCUUCUUUAUAACUCCUAUUCUAAUAGCAAAUCCUUCACAGAAGUUAUUGCAUUACAUUCUUGAUUUAAUUAUCUUUCCAUUGAUAUAUAAUUUUACAGUAAUUACUCCCCCCCAAAAGUGGUGUUGUUAGCCAUCAAACCUCAAAAAUACUGUACACUUUUCCCCAAAAAGUCUCCACAAUUUUGGCCACUACGGGUCGUGUCCCUAAAGUUACGCUUCUGUUCCAUUGAAACAUCUGGCUUCCCGAAACAGAAUAAGAAAGAAAGAAAAACACUCACGAUGGUCGCUUCGCUCAGAAUGCUGUUUAAGGAAACUCUAAUACCCCUUUGAUCGAGGGCACAUAUAUUUGCUGCCCGGCCUUAACUCCCCAUGGAAUUAUGGGCUUUUUUCCUGGAGUAGAGUGGGUCUCUUUUGACAAGGGGGCAGCCCCCCCCCCUCCUUCCCAAAGGGCUGUUCUAGAGCCUUCACAGUCGACGUUAAAAAUGACAACACAC